GUCCGUUCUGGACCCUAUGACUCUGUUCCACAUGUCUUCAGUCCGUUCUGGACCCCAUGACUCGGACACUAGUUCUACCAAGGCUCAUUAGAGAGUGCUUCAGAGGAUGGCUGAAUUCACAAAACGUGGAGAAGACCGAGAAGGAGAAGUUGGCCGGUUACUACAUUUCACAAAAAAUACAGGACCUUGU